rnacentral:rRNA from 1 species
GGGGAAUAUUGGGGCAAAUGGGGCGAAAGCCUGACCCAGCGACGCCGCGUGAGGGAAGAAGGUCUUCGGAUUGUAAACCUUAGUUAGCAGGGAAGAAGAAAGUGACGGUACCUGCAGAGAAAGCCACGGCUAACUACGUGCCAGCAGCCGCGGUAAUACGUAGGUGGCGAGCGUUAUCCGGAAUUACUGGGUGUAAAGGGUGUGUAGGCGGGCAAACAAGUCAGAUGUGAAAACUAUGGGCUUAACCCAUAGCCUGCAUUUGAAACUGUAUGUCUUGAGGAUGGAGAGGUAAGUAAG